GAUGAACGCUGGCGGCGUGCCUAAUACAUGCAAGUCGAGCGAACAGACGAGGAGCUUGCUCCUCUGACGUUAGCGGCGGACGGGUGAGUAACACGUGGAUAACCUACCUAUAAGACUGGGAAACUUUCGGGAAACCGGGCUAAUUACCGGAUAAUAUAUUAACCGGCUUGGUCCAAUAUUAAAAGAGGUCUUUCCUGCCCCUAUUAAUUGAUUCGCGCUGCAUUAGCCAGUUGGUAAGGUAACGGCCUACCAAGGCAACGAUGCGUAGCCGAACUGAGAGGGUGAUCGGCCACACUGGAACUGAGACACGGUCCAGACUCCUACGGGAGGCAGCAGUAGGGAAUCUUCCGCAAUGGGCGAAAGCUUGACGGAGCAACGCCGCGUGAGUGAUGAAGGUCUUCGGAUCGUAAAACUCUGUUAUUAGGGAAGAACAAAUGUGUAAGUAACUAUGCACGUCUUGACGGUACCUAAUCAGAAAGCCACGGCUAACUACGUG
rnacentral:rRNA from 1 species